UACGUAGGGUGCGAGCGUUGUCCGGAAUUAUUGGGCGUAAAGGGCUCGUAGGCGGUCUGUCGCGUCGGUCGUGAAAACUUGGGGCUUAACCCUGAGCUUGCGGUCGAUACGGGCAUGACUGGAGUUCGGUAGGGGAGACUGGAAUUCCUGGUGUAGCGGUGAAAUGCGCAGAUAUCAGGAGGAACACCGGUGGCGAAGGCGGGUCUCUGGGCCGAUACUGACGCUGAAGAGCGAAAGCGUGGGGAGCGAACAGG
rnacentral:rRNA from 1 species